GCUAUUCGUUGUCCAGAUGAGCUUUUUAAAUGAAGCUGCUAUAGAUCCUUCUCCACAACACUAGAGGUUUCCUCCAGAUUGGCCAUUUGUGUUACUGACAGCAUCCCUGGUCCUGAAGCAGAAGAGAAUACCAUGCAGUUGAAAUGAUGUGAGAAGCAGAAAGCAGAAAUGGAUCAAGAAAUUUAGGAUGAUUAUUUCAAGGGACAAAAUCAUAAUGAGUUUAGUAUGUAACCCAAAUCCUGGAUUGCUAUAUAACAGUUAUUGGUUGUGAUCUUAAUUUUCUUGUCUGAAACAAUGAUGAUGAUGAUGAUGAUACCUACUUCUGGAUGUUGUAACUCCAUCCAUUAAAUGGUGAUACUAAUGAAGCCUACGUCAUAGAAUUGUCUAACAUCUUUACUGUGAGAUGCAGUUUUGAUGCCAGUUGUCAGAAAAAUGUGCCCCACCUUUUUUUCCCUCUUUUAAGCAAUUUCAAGAAAUAAAUCCCUGGAAAUACAUACUUUAGAUAGACACAAUGACCAGAACUGAUACUGGUGCUUCCAUCACCAGGAAAGUAGCUGAGAGAUACUGUUACUAGUUCCUGUUUCCCAAUCACUGGCACUACUUUUGUUCCUUCCCUUUAUUGACCUUGUUCUUUGGCUUUUCCUUUGUUUUUCUCAGCUAUGCCAUAUUCCUCCAAUAAAUUCCUUUUGUUUGUUGAA